CAAGAAUAUCGAAAACUUUUGAAAAUAAGGUAUUUAGCUAGAGUUACAACCACUUGAGAUGUUAAGCAUAUGAGAGAGAAUAACCAAGAGUUCCAACUUCACACAAACAAGAUAAACUGAAAUAGAAACUAAAUGGCGGAUGCAGACUUAAUUAACACACUAAACUAUCAUGCAAGACUCCAACUAAGAAAAGUGAAACUCAAAACUAAUACUAAGAAUAAAAUAAAAGAAAGAGUUUAGAACUCCCUCAAUCUGAUCCAUU
rnacentral:lncRNA from 1 species